rnacentral:rRNA from 1 species
AUUGAACGCUGGCGGCAGGCCUAACACAUGCAAGUCGAGCGGAUGACGGGAGCUUGCUCCUUGAUUCAGCGGCGGACGGGUGAGUAAUGCCUAGGAAUCUGCCUGGUAGUGGGGGACAACGUUUCGAAAGGAACGCUAAUACCGCAUACGUCCUACGGGAGAAAGCAGGGGACCUUCGGGCCUUGCGCUAUCAGAUGAGCCUAGGUCGGAUUAGCUAGUUGGUGAGGUAAUGGCUCACCAAGGCGACGAUCCGUAACUGGUCUGAGAGGAUGAUCAGUCAAACUGGAACUGAGACACGGUCCAGACUCCUACGGGAGGCAGCAGUGGGGAAUAUUGGACAAUGGGCGAAAGCCUGAUCCAGCCAUGCCGCGUGUGUGAAGAAGGUCUUCGGAUUGUAAAGCACUUUAAGUUGGGAGGAAGGGCAGUAAGUUAAUACCUUGCUGUUUUGACGUUACCGACAGAAUAAGCACCGGCUAACUUCGUGCCAGCCGCCGCCGUAAAAC